CACGUAGGGCGCGAGCGUUGUCCGGAAUUAUUGGGCGUAAAGAGCUCGUAGGCGGCCUGUUGCGUCCGCUGUGAAAGCCCGGGGCUUAACCCCGGGUCGGCAGUGGAUACGGGCAGGCUAGAGGUAGGUAGGGGAGAAUGGAAUUCCCGGUGUAGCGGUGAAAUGCGCAGAUAUCCGGAAGAACACCGGUGGCGAAGGCGGUGAGCUGGGCAGUUGCUGACACUGAGGCGCGACAGCGUGGGGAGCAAACAGG
rnacentral:rRNA from 1 species